rnacentral:lncRNA from 1 species
CAGCCCGUCGGCCACCAUCCGCAGGCGGAGCCGGACGUGACGUAGCCGCGCUUCCUGUGGCGGCCAGCGCGCGCGCGCGCGCGGCGGCUACGGCGGCGGCGGCGGAGGUGAGUCGGCGCUGGGCUCGUUCGUGCGGCUUCUGCCCCUGCCCCUCCCUCUGCCCCUGCCCCUGCCCCUGCCCCUCCCUCUGCCCCUGCCCCUCAGGCCGCACUCUCCGCCCGCCUGCACCGGCAGGAUGCGGCCGCCUCCCCCGGGCCCCGGAACGGCCCUGCAGCUGGGCCAGCGGACGGGGAAGUUGGCGGUCCCCUGUGACCCGCCUCCGCCGGCCGCACGGCGGGGGCUUCCCGAACUCUGCCCGGCGGCCCUGCCUUGUCCUGCGGGCUCAGCCUCUCCCGGCUCCUCCACCGUCCACCACAGGUCACGGGGCCAGGAGGUCCCAGGCGGUGCUGCCACCCGAGCCCACAGCCGCGCCGGGGGACGAAAGUCGGAGGACGACCUCACCUCGUCGGCGGCGUGGAGCCUGCACUCUCUCGGCGCCGCUGUUUCUUCCUUUUUUGGCGCUGGGGCCUGAACCCACGAGCGCUUUACCACCUCCAUCCCCAACCCCUUUGAUUUUGAGCCAGGGCUUGAGCUUACGGUCCUCGUGCCUCAACCUCCUGAGUCUCUGGGAUUGCAGAGGAUUGAACCCAGUGCCUCACACUAUUGUGUAUGCAUUAGCCAAGGGGAGCAGCACAGCCACUUCCUGCUGGYCUAGGGCUAAGUGUGCACAUAGUCUCCCAGGAGAGAAGAGCCCACAGGGCCAUUCGCACAACCUGCCUGGUGCACUGCCCGAGUGGUAGAGUGUGCUAAAAGCCCAACUUGUGAAAGAGCAGCACUUUGGGUUGUCAGAAGGGUGUAGCACUGGUGAAAGCAGUGAGGCCAACUAGCAUGCCACAGCUCCCUGAGGAAAAGGAGGCAAGUAGAACUGCCUGCACAGGUGGGAGGGGAGGGGGAGGGCAUCAUGGUGUCGGGGGGCCUGGGCUGGGCCAGGUGAUCUGUUUUGUCAAAGCAUGAAGUUGGUCAAAUUUGAUCUUCUAAUUUUUUCAUAGAGGUUAAUUUUAUGA